GGAGAGGUUGGCCGGUCACACUGGGACUGAGACACUGCCCAGACUCCUACGGGAGGCUGCAGUCGCGAAUAUUCCGCAAUGGGCGAAAGCCUGACGGAGCGACGCCGCGUGUGGGAUGAAGGCCUUCGGGUUGUAAACCACUGUCACGCGUUAUGAACACCGGGGCGAUAAUAUCAAUCCGGAUGACAAAGGCGCGAGAGGAAGCCACGGCUAACUCUGUGCCAGCAGCCGCGGUAAGACAGAGGUGGCAAGCGUUGCUCGGAGUUACUGGGCAUAAAGGGCGCGUAGGCGGUCGUGCACGUCGAGGGUGAAAUCCCCGGGCUUAACCCGGGAACUGCCUUUGAUACUGCGCGACUCGAGUGCGGGAGGGGAGAGUGGAACUCCUGGUGGAGCGGUGAAAUGCGUAGAUAUCAGGAGGAACGCCGGUGGCGAAAGCGACUCUCUGGUCCGCAACUGACGCUGAGGCGCGAAAGCUAGGGGAGCAAACGGGAUUAGAUACCCCGGUAGUCCUAGCCCUAAACUAUGAGCACUAGGUAGCGGCAGGUCCGACUUGUCGCUGCUGAAGCAAAUGUAUUAAGUGCUCCGCCUGGGGAGUAUGGCCGCAAGGCUAAAACUCAAAGGAAUUGACGGGGGCUCACACAAGCGGUGGAGGAUGUUGCUCAAUUCGAAUCAACGCGAAGAACCUUACCUGGGCUUGACAUGCUGGUAGUAGGAACCGGAAACGGCAACGACCAUCGCAAGAUGGAGCCAGCACAGGUGUUGCAUGGCUGUCGUCAGCUCGUGCCGUGAGGUGUUGGGUUAAGUCCCGUAACGAGCGAAACCCCUGCCUCUAUUUGCCAACAGGUAAUGCUGGGAACUCUAGAGGGACUGCCGGUGUCAAACCGGAGGAAGGUGGGUAUGACGUCAAGUCAUCAUGGCCCUUACGCCCAGGGCUGCAAACGUCCCACAAUGGCCGGUACAAAGGGUUGCCAACCCGCGAGGGGGAGCUAAUCCCAUAAAGCCGGUCUCAGUUCGGAUUGCAGGCUGCAAUUCGCCUGCAUGAAGCUGGAAUCGCUAGUAAUCGCGGAUCAGCUAUGCCGCGGUGAAUAUGUUCCUGAGCCUUGUACACACCGCCCGUCAAGCCAUGGAAGCUGGGGGUACCCGAAGUCGCUGACCCAACCCGCAAGGGAGGGAGGCGCCGAAGGUAAAACUAGUGACUGGGACUAAGUCGGAACAAGGUA
rnacentral:rRNA from 1 species